AAUAGCAAGAAGAAAAAGAUGGAGAGGUUCCAAGGGUUCUGCAUCUGUAUACAGCCGAAAGAUUAUCAUCAUUUGGAGAGCUGGCACUAAUGAAUAACAAACCACUCCAGGCCUCUGUCCGUGCUGUGACAAGUGGAACUCUUUGGGCUUUAAAAAGGGACGAUUUUCGAGGAAUUCUUACGUCAAAAUUUUCAAAUUUAUCAUCAUUGAAGUUGCUUUGAUCAGUAGAUCUACUCUCGAGGUUGACAAUCUUACAGCUGAGUCACAUUGCAGAAUCUCUUUCUGAAGUUUCCUUUUCUGAUGGGCAGAUAAUAGCUGAUAGGGAUGAGGCCUUCUUGGGAUUGUACAUUAUCGAGAAGGGACAAGUUAGAAUUAUUGUUGAUUACAUUACGGAGAAGUAAUUUGAUUCUGACAAUACAAUUGCAGCAAAUAAAAGCUUUUCUUGAGAGUGUUGGGACUUCUUUCUGCCCUGAUUAUUUCGACUGGUUUGGAAAUGGUGCAACUGAUUCACAUUCCAGAAAUGCUGAUCAAUCUGUGCUUUCAAAAUUUUUACAAGCACAUCUUGCUGAUUUUUCUACCACUAAAUUGCAAGUC